AGGUUCUGUCGUUCACUUAGACUCUGAUUUUUCUGCUGGUCAGUGCAUGACAGAACUUCA
rnacentral:pre_miRNA from 1 species